UCCUAAGUUGGGGCUGAGUAAAGACAUAUU
rnacentral:piRNA from 1 species